GACGUAGGGGGCGAGCGUUGUCCGGAUUCAUUGGGCGUAAAGCGCGCGUAGGCGGCCCGGUAAGUCGGUUGUGAAAUCCUGGGGCUUAACCCCAGGACUGCGUCCGAUACUGCCGGGCUAGAGGUAGGUAGGGGAGAUCGGAAUUCCUGGUGUAGCGGUGAAAUGCGCAGAUAUCAGGAGGAACACCGGUGGCGAAGGCGGAUCUCUGGGCCUUACCUGACGCUCAGGCGCGAAAGCUAGGGGAGCAAAC
rnacentral:rRNA from 1 species